rnacentral:lncRNA from 1 species
ACAUGAAAGUCUGUGUGUGCCUUUUAAGAAUGGGGACUCCAUUUCCCCCAGUCCUGUGGAGCUCCUGCACACCAGCCCCACCAGCCUUCAAUGCCAGGUGCUCCGGGGGCUCUUUCUCCCAGUGCCAGAUCCCCACACAUGGGCGUUUGAUGUGAGGCUCAGAACUCUCACUCCUGUAGUGGCUCCCUGCUUUUGGCUGCUGCUGAGUCAAGACAGGAAUAUGUCUACAGGAUUGGGACUGGAUUUUCCUGGGGUGAACCAGUGUUGUCAAAAUCAAAGGGUAACUUUGAAUGAAAAUUACACAAACCUCAUUGUGAUCUUUCGUGGAUACCCAGCUACACAAAAAAGCAAAGGUUAAAGCUAGCCAAGUUUUUCUCUUUCUAAACUAUCACUCAAUAAACAACCCCUCCAUGGUUUGCAGCUUCCCUUGUGCACACAGACCACCUGGGUCGUACAUUCAGGACAGCUUUGUGUGGAACUGCAGGAAUUACUCUGAAGUCUUCUAAUACCUUUUAAUCCAUGAUCUAUGAAUGCAUCCAAGGUGACAGAAGUGCAAUGAAUAACACUGGAAGAUCCUCCAAACCCACCCCCACCAGGUCCACCAAAGAUCCCAAAGCACCACCACCAUUGAUGCGGCACCAUCACCAUAGGUGGAGCACCACCACCAUUAACGGGGCACUGACCACCACCAUUGAUGGAGCACCCACCGCAUGCUGGUCCUCAUAACAACCCGCCCACAGCACUGGAACCUGAGGUUGGCACAGGUUCAAAAGAUAACAUGUGUAAAAUUACUCUGCAAGAAAGCAGAGCAGGAUUUGAACUCAGGUGCAUCCGAAGUCCCUUUAUCUACCACUCUACAUGUCUCACCAGAAUGAGAAGAACUGAAAGCUCCAGAAACACAUGCCAGGGGAGCGUUUCCCUCUGAGCCAUCCAGGCCUCAGAUCCCCAAACUGAAGCAUGUAUGACUUUUAAAAAUUGAUCUGUUUGGAAAAGCAAUGCCCUUUUGAAAAGCAGCCACAAUCAAAGCCCACUGGAAAGGUCCAGCAUUACUCAAGACUGAAAUAUAUUUUGACCCAUUCACUCCACCUGGAGCCACCAGGGCUCUUCAAGGUACAGUACAUUCCAUCUCUGAAGAUAUUGGCAUGGUACUAAGAAGUUCUAAGCAGAAGAAUGACAUGAGAUUCACCUGUCGACUAGGUAUCUCUUGAGGCUGCAUGAUGUGUAUUUGAAGGGCACCAGAUGGGGAGGGGGUGGGGCGCAUGCUGGAGGCCAAUGCAGGAAUCAAGCUCCAGGCUAAUGGUGCCAUUAACCUUUAAACAGCAGGAAAGCACAAACAGCAGAAAAGAGAAAUUCAGAAAUAUAUGAAAAUAACCAAGUGUUUACCACAGAUUAGAGGGCCAAGGGACAGGUAGUAAUAAUGGGAAAAAUAAGUCUAAACUAAUUUAAAUGUAUGCCACUGUUUUGAAGAGCAAUGCAAAAAGCCCCACCUAAAUGCAAAUUUAAACCCCAGAUGGCCAAAACCCUCUCCCCUAAAAUAAUCUUUAACUGCUAAAAUUUCUUCUAACACUCCAAUUCAAUUAUUUUUAACAAUGUAGUUAUUUUGAGUUUUACUGUGAAUUAGGCUCAUGCUGAAUAUUAAUACCCAUGAUUUAUAAACUACAAAUUUAUCCUUUAUACUUCCCCUAAUUAUAAUCUUGCCAUUUUCAGAAUUAUGCUCCUUUUGGAAGUUUUACAUUUGAAAAUUAUGCUCAGUUAAUGUACAAAAGGAUAAGAGAGACCAUCCUAAGCAAUGACAGCCUUUAUAUCAACUAGAAGAAAAAUGCCUUUCUUCAGUUGUCAACUUGCAGAAAAAAAUUUCCCAUUGCAUUUGUUUUCUUAAUGACAAUGGGAAAAUCAUAGUUUGUAACACAGAGCUGCACUGUAAGAACAGCGUGGAUUUAUAACUUCAAUGAUCCUGAGCACAGAUGAGUUAAUGGUUUGAGGGCCAUGGAAACAGCAUUAGCCAAACUCAAACAUGAAGUAUGAAAGUGACAGAAUUUAAGAAGACCUCAUUGGCCCUCAGAGCCCAAUUUUACACUCUAUCUACCUGGUAGUUUCUAAGUCAAGUUCUGAAAAUAAGGGGGAAAUUUUUUUUCAACAGAAAAAAUAGCUUCAAACUUAGCAUAAUUUUAAGAAUUUUUUACCUUCCCAUAGUCUUGAACAAUCAACUGGCUCACAAAUUCCAGAGGCGUUCAGAACUUUCUACAUAAGCACACAGUUCAAUACUGAAAACUGUUCAGUACAUUUAAAAUGUUCUUUACACCAAGAGAAUUAGCUUCCUUCCAAUUUGGAACUUAAGGCUAUUGCCUUCUGCAUGGUCAUAAAUGCACAGUUUGUGUUUAACUGGAGUGUAAGUUCUUGUACAACAUAAACUCUGCCCAUUCUGUGUGCACCCACAAUUAUGUGAAGAGUGAGGAAGCACAGAUUUAGGAUCAAUCGGUUCCAAAUCACAAGUUUCCAAUGCCACGGCUCUUCACAGACAUUUGUUACACGCUGUCCAUGCGGCAGAUUUCAAACAGACUUUGAAAAAAUGAAGUUUGAAGAGCUAGAUCCAAUUUGUAUUUCCUCCUAUCUACUUCUAUAAGAAGCCCAAACACCUGGCUAAUGUCAUAAUGUGUUCUCCAGGCAGACAAAAUAAGUCCAAUGACCUGGAGUUUGUAUGCCAUAGUCAGAGACAAAUUAAAAAAACUUGGAAUUCGCAAAAGGAAAGUAAUUAGAAAUCAAAAUAAAGGAUCCACAUGAUAUC